AUUGAACGCUGGCGGCAUGCCUUACACAUGCAAGUCGAACGGCAGCGGGGGAGAAGCUUGCUUUUCCUGCCGGCGAGUGGCGAACGGGUGAGUAAUACAUCGGAACGUGCCCUGUAGUGGGGGAUAACUAGUCGAAAGAUUAGCUAAUACCGCAUACGACCUGAGGGUGAAAGUGGGGACCGCAAGGGCUCAUGCUAUAGGAGCGGCCGAUGGCUGAUUCGGUAGUUGGGGGGGUAAAGGCCUACCAAGGCGACGAUCAGUAGCCGGUCUGAGAGGGCGAUCAGCAACACUGGGACUGAGACACGGCCCAGACUCCUACGGGAGGCAGCAGUGGGGAAUUUUGGACAAUGGGCGAAAGCCUGAUCCAGCAAUGCCGCGUGUGUGAAGAAGGCCUUCGGGUUGUAAGCACUUUUGUCCGGAAAGAAAUGGCUCUGGUUAAUAACUGGGGUCGAUGACGGUACCGGAAGAAUAAGGACCGGCUAACUACGUGCCAGCCGCCGCCGUAA
rnacentral:rRNA from 1 species